rnacentral:rRNA from 1 species
GACGAACGCUGGCGGCGUGCUUAACACAUGCAAGUCGAACGGAAAGGCCCUGCUUUUGUGGGGUGCUCGAGUGGCGAACGGGUGAGUAACACGUGAGUAACCUGCCCUUGACUUUGGGAUAACUUCAGGAAACUGGGGCUAAUACCGGAUAGGAGCUCCUGCUGCAUGGUGGGGGUUGGAAAGUUUCGGCGGUUGGGGAUGGACUCGCGGCUUAUCAGCUUGUUGGUGGGGUAGUGGCUUACCAAGGCUUUGACGGGUAGCCGGCCUGAGAGGGUGACCGGCCACAUUGGGACUGAGAUACGGCCCAGACUCCUACAGUAGGCAGCAGGGGGAAGUAUUGCACAAUGGGCGGAAGCCUGAUGCAGCAACGCCGCGUGCGGGAUGACGGCCUUCGGGUUGUAAACCGCUUUCGCCUGUGACGAAGCGUGAGUGACGGUAAUGAGUAAAGAAGCACCGGCUAACUACGUG